rnacentral:rRNA from 2 species
AGAGAUAUAUAAUUUAAUUAUAUUAUUUACUGGUGGCACAGAAUCGGAGGCCCCGACUGUUUACUAAAAACACAAUUCAGAGCAAUGAUUAAUAUCAUAGUAUUCUGGAUGAAAUUUGCUCAAUGCCAUUAAUACAAGAGAGGUGAUGGGAUAACUGUUACUAAUCGAAAUUCUGGUGAAUAGCGGUCUUAACUAUGAGGAUCCUAAGGUAGCAAAAUCAGUUGGCCAUUAAAUGUGGUCCGGUAUCAGUAGUGUAACGAUGGUCUCACUGUCUCUACAACUUGCUCAGUGAAAUUGAAUUACCCGUGCAGAUGCGGGUUGCCUCCAGGUGGACGGGAAGACCCUAUGCAGCUUUACUGUAGUUAGUUAUCAUGUUAAUCUAGAACAACCUUGGUCAAAGUGAUUAGGGAAGUCGAUAGACGAAAAGUGGAAUACCUCGAGACUAGGGUUGGGUUAAUAUUUACCUUAUACUUUAUAAGUAGAGGGAUAGGUGACUAAUUGGCAGUUUGACUGGGGCGGUCGUUUUUAAAAUAGUAUCAAAAUGCAUCCAAUGAUUUAAUUAGCCGGAAGGCUUAUAAUGUUAAUAAAAAAUUAAUAUACAGACAUAAAUAAUCAAAGUAGAAAAUAAUUGAUGAGUAAUUUUAUUACUUUACUUGCGGACGGUCUCGGUUUCGGUUUACCGCUUGCGGCUGGCCGGUCCGGGCGAAAGCUUGUAUUUUUCAAUCUCAAUUUUAAAGGUAUAGCUAGAAAUUUGAAUGGAGGUCAAUCGACCAGUGAGAAAGGUCGUAAUGGUGCAAUGGCUUACAGCAUACCUAACUGAAAGACUUAGGAGUCGCACAGAUACGUAAGUAGGGCAUAGUGACCCCUCGCUAUAAUAUGGAAUA